UACGGGAGGCAGCAGUGGGGAAUAUUGCACAAUGGGCGCAAGCCUGAUGCAGCCAUGCCGCGUGUAUGAAGAAGGCCUUCGGGUUGUAAAGUACUUUCAGUCGUGAGGAAGGUGUUAAGGUUAAUAACCUUAGCAAUUGACGUUAGCGACAGAAGAAGCACCGGCUAACUCCGUGCCAGCAGCCGCGGUAAUACGGAGGGUGCGAGCGUUAAUCGGAAUUACUGGGCGUAAAGGGCACGCAGGCGGUUAAUUAAGUUGGAUGUGAAAUCCCCGGGCUUAACCUGGGAAUGGCAUUCAAGACUGGUUAGCUAGAGUCUUGUAGAGGGGGUAGAAUUCCAUGUGUAGCGGCGAAAUGCGUAGAGAUGUGGAGGAAUACCGGUGGCGAAGGCGGCCCCUGGACAAGACUGACGCUCAUGUGCGAAAGCGUGGGGAGCAAACAGGAUUAGAUACC
rnacentral:rRNA from 1 species